rnacentral:rRNA from 1 species
GGUCUAGCUACAAAGGGCUAACGGUGGAUACCUAUGCACAGAGCGGCCGCGAAA